CAGAGGUGGCAAGCGUUGUUCGGAAUUACUGGGCGUAAAGGGCGCGUAGGCGGCCUUCUAAGUCAGACGUGAAAUCCCCAGGCUUAACUUGGGAACUGCGUCUGAUACUGGAGGGCUUGAGUGCGGGAGAGGGAUGUGGAAUUCCAGGCGUAGCGGUGAAAUGCGUAGAUAUCUGGAGGAACACCGGUGGCGAAGGCGGCAUCCUGGACCGACACUGACGCUGAGGCGCGAAAGCCAGGGGAGCAAACGGGAUUAGAUACCCCGGUAGUCCUGGCCCUAAACGAUGAGUGCUUGGUGUGGCGGGUAUCGAUUCCUGCCGUGCCGAAGCUAACGCAGUAAGCACUCCGCCUGGGGAGUACGGUCGCAAGGCUG
rnacentral:rRNA from 1 species